rnacentral:misc_RNA from 1 species
UACGUGGGUGGCAAGCGUUACCCGGAAUUAUUGGGCGUAAAGCGCGCGCAGGCGGUUCCUUAAGUCUGAUGUGAAAGCCCACGGCUCAACCGUGGAGGGUCAUUGGAAACUGGGGGACUUGAGUGCAGAAGAGGAAAGCGGAAUUCCACGUGUAGCGGUGAAAUGCGUAGAGAUGUGGAGGAACACCAGUGGCGAAGGCGGCUUUUUGGUCUGUAACUGACGCUGAGGCGCGAAAGCGUGGGGAGCAAACAGG